rnacentral:rRNA from 1 species
GCAAAACGCGAAGAACCUUACCUAGGCUUGACAUGCAUCUCUAAGCACGUGAAAGCGUGUGACCCUUCGGGGAAUUUGCACAGGUGCUGCAUGGCCGUCGUCAGCUCGUGUCGUGAGAUGUUGGGUUAAGUCCCGCAACGAGCGCAACCCUUGUGACUAGUUGCCAGCACGUUAUGGUGGGAACUCUAGUCAGACUGCCCAGAUCAACUGGGAGGAAGGUGGGGACGACGUCAGGUCAGUAUGGCCCUUACGCCUAGGGCUGCACACGUACUACAAUGCCCAGCACAAUGAGAACCGAGACCGCGAGGUGGAGGAAAUCUAAAAAACUGGGCCCAGUUCGGAUUGGAGGCUGCAACUCGCCUCCACGAAGUUGGAAUCGCUAGUAAUCGCGGAUCAGCAUGCCGCGGUGAAUACGUUCCCGGGUCUUGUACACACCG